CACGCUCAAGUUUCAAAAUGCAAAACCCCUCAUCCCAAUCUCUCUUUGACUCAUUCUCUCUGAAAUCUCUACCGGAACCCACUCUCCCGCUCUUCAAAUAGGGAUAAAAACCCUUCUUUCUUCUCCAUGAGACAUUUUGACCUCAAACACGGAACCGAGAUAAUAUUAAGUUUAGAUCACUAAAAGUUCUUGUUCGAAUCAUCUUCUUCACAACGCCAGAAGAAAAAGGUUGCUACUGAUGUUGCAUCUUGGGGCCACCUUCCAAAGUAAAAGUACAGGAGGUUGUUUAGAAGUGUGUUUUUUGGAAAUUACGACACAAGAUAUUGAAUGGUCAGAAUCAGAUUAACACCUAACCGGUUAGGAAAAGUAUUAACCAAAAGUGACCUGCUUCAUUGUGUACAAACAUGAAAAAGGUAAUGUUUCGUACAUGAUGGACAAUAGUGUGGGGUUGUUCUGUUUACCCGUAGCCCAAAAGAAAUAAUCCGGACUGUGGUUGGAUGGUUCAGCACCAACUUAGACGAGCUCAAGAAAACAGCUUCAAGUUCGCGUAACCAGAGGUUGGUUGAACAAGUUGGCUAUGGGGUGAAAAAAGAACGGUUGGGAUUCAUGUUACGACUGAGUAAGAUUGAUUCUGGUUCUGUGGUUGGGGAUAACUGGAAGUCUGCUUUGGGGUCUAGGGAUGGGCAGAAAGAUGGCAUGUUUGUUGCUGCAGGUGAUGUGAGGUAUAAUACAUUUCAUAAUUCUAAAGUUUCAAAUCUUAGUUCAGACAAUCAAAGCCAAGUUAUUAAGGUUUUUGCAAGAAAAUAGUAUUAGUUCAAGGACUUAGACAGGCUUGGUCACGUGUUUUGAAGAAUUGAACUUGGAUUUCUAAUUCUGGGACAAAUUUUGCCAUGGAAGAAUUAAAGUGUGUUGAGAAUCUUGAAGUUUGUGACGUUAACUGGUCUGGCCUUUUCUUCACCUGGAAUCAAUGUCCAGGAAAAGCCGGAAAAGCAUGUGCUAUUUUAGAGAAGUUGGAUUAGAGUUAUGGGUAAUAGAAAGUUUGUUGAUUUAUUCCCUAACACCCAUGUUGUUUUCUUACCCUAUUUGUUCCUAAACAUUAUCUUGGCCAUCUUGUAAUGUAAUAGGCCUAAACCUAAACCAUCUAUUUGGAACUAUUUUGCUUCUAAAGAUGAGUUCAUUGCUAUCGUGAAGGAUGCUUGGAACUAUCUUGCUUUUUUAGGUGUUUUGAAAUGAACUUCAAUCAAUGUUCUCUGCUUA